rnacentral:ribozyme from 11 species
CUCAAUCUCUCUUGUCUGGUUUUUCUUUCGUUCUUUUCCUUUCUCUCUGUGUGUAUGUUUGUUUGAGAAGAGAGAAAGAGCCAGGAAGAUUCUGAGA